CGUCAUCCUGGAGAAGUGAUGUGAUUGGUGUCCUUCUAAGAAGAGAAGAGACACAGUGAUGUGUCUAAAAGCCAAGGAACACCAAGAGUCGUCAGCAAACAAGAGGCAAACAGCCUCCUCCACAGAUGAGAAAAUGGAGGACAGGGAGGCCAAACAGCAUGUUCCAAGUUGCCUGAACUACUGAACAACAGACACAGACUUCAGACGCCUGUCUUCAGACCUCAGUGCUCUUUCCAUUGCUGAUCAGAGACAUUCAUCUGUUCAUCCUGCACUGUUUAUUGAGUACCGACAAUUUGCUAGACACUGUUCUAGGCUCUCGAGAUAGACUAAGGAACCAAACAAAGAUCUUUGCCUCCUUGUGCUUACACAGUAGCAGGGAGAGACAGAUAUUAAAUAAUAAACAUGAUGAAUAUGGAAACUA